rnacentral:sRNA from 1 species
UAUCUCUCCGUUCGGGGAAGGAUGAGAAGCUUCGACUAAGGUUCGAUUCGAGCGCAGCGAGAAAGCGUUGCCGCAGGCAACGACCCGAAGGGCGAAGCGCGCAGCGCUGAGUAAUCCUUCCCCCACCACCA